rnacentral:rRNA from 1 species
AGCUCCAAUAGCGUAUAUUAAAGUUGUUGCAGUUAAAAAGCUCGUAGUUGGAUUUCUGGUGAGAGUGAUCAAUCCAGCUCUCUGAGUUGGUACUUGUAUCAUCUCUCACCAUCUUUCAGAAAAACCUUUCUGGCAUUAAAUUGUUGGGAAGGGGACUUUGAUCUUUUACUGUGAAAAAAUUAGAGUGUUCAAAGCAGGCUUAUGCCGUUGAAUAUAUUAGCAUAGAAUAAUAACAUAAGACUAUGGUACUAUUUUGUUGGUUUGUGUACCAUGGUAAUGAUGAAUAGGGAUAGUGGAGGGUAUUUGUAUUCCAUUGUCAGAGGUGAAAUUCUUGGAUUUAUGGAAGACAAACUACUGCGAAAGCAUUCACCAAGGAUGUUUUCA